rnacentral:rRNA from 1 species
AGUGAACGCUGGCGGUAGGCCUAACACAUGCAAGUCGAACGGCAGCACAGUAAGAGCUUGCUCUUACGGGUGGCGAGUGGCGGACGGGUGAGGAAUACAUCGGAAUCUACUUUUUCGGGGGGGAUAACGUAGGGAAACUUACGCUAAUACCGCAUACGACCUACGGGUGAAAGCAGGGGAUCUUCGGACCUUGCGCGAUUGAAUGAGCCGAUGUCGGAUUAGCUAGUUGGCGGGGUAAGGGCCCACCAAGGCGACGAUCCGUAGCUGGCCUGAGAGGAUGAUCAGCCACACUGGAACUGAGACACGGUCCAGACUCCUACGGGAGGCAGCAGUGGGGAAUAUUGGACAAUGGGCGCAAGCCUGAUCCAGCCAUACCGCGUGAGUGAAGAAGGCCUUCGGGUUGUAAAGCCCUUUUGUUGGGAAAGAAAAGCAGCAGGUUAAUCCCCCGCUGUUCUGACGGUACCCAAAGAAUAAGCACCGGCUAACUUCGUG